UACGAAGGGAGCGAGCGUUGUUCGGAAUCGACUGGGCUUAAAGCGUGCGUUAGGUGGAUUGGUAAGUAAGGAGUGAAAGUCCCACGGGCUUAACCCUGGAACUGCUCUUUAGACUGCCUGUCUGGAAGUUCGGAAGAGGUUGGUGGAACUCCCAGUGUAGAGGUGAAAUUCGCAGAUAUUGGGAAGAACACCGGUGGCGAAGGCGACCAACUGGUCCGACAUUGACACUGAGGCACGAAAGCGUGGGUAGCAAACAGG
rnacentral:rRNA from 1 species